rnacentral:sRNA from 12 species
GUUGACCGAUACCGACGGCUGGUCACCGCCAGUGGGAUUUCCUGUUUUUUAAUAACAGGCGGCUGUACUGAGUACAUCACCAAACCCCAACACCUCAACACCGUUUCGCUCUGGUGCAUAGGUAUCGUCAA